GAAUCGUUGGAACUCGUUUUUGAUAAAGUGGUGCAAACCAAUUUUCGAUGGGUUUUUCGACGGAGACGUCUGUCGGAAGGACCGAAAUUUGGGCACGAUGUAAUCGUCACCGUGAACACUAUGAGUUAGUGUAUUUGCUCUGUCAAAAUCAGAGUUGUUUUGAAUGAAAAAUGAAUGUCCAAAGUGAAUGACAUGAAAAGUUUAUAAAGCUAUUAUUUGGUUAAAAUAUAAAGUUUAACAAAUAUUUCACUUUGGAUAUUUGAGUUUAAGUUUAGAUUUAAAUAUAUUAAUGGGAUGUUAUAUCAAUUAAUUUAUUUUGAAAUCUUAUUCAAAAAAAUAUAAACUCAAUGAAAGCAUAUUGAUGGCUUUGUGAUUUGGUCAAACCACAUUAUGACUAUAAAACUAAUGUACAAGAAUCUUGAGUUAUGGAAAUCAAAUACUCAUUAAGAUUAGAGACGUUAAUGGCUCCAUAAUAAGUGCAUAACGUGUUGUUUCAUUUCUUUUAUAAAAGGAAGAUAAACACUUGUUAUAGAUUCAUUCUUUUUGACAUUAAGCAAAAGGCUUACAAUACUCUCGUCAGACUAUACACAAAACUAGUUUCGCCAGACUUCUGAUAGAGUGACGCAAAUCAGAAGAUUUUUUGCAGUUGUAUCCUGAGAUUCAUUACGUUAUCGAACCGUUGCAAUACGAGACGUAUUUUGAGUUAAAAAAAGAGAUAAUAUCUCGACUCAACAGUUGUAUCAUCCUUUUUGUAAUCUUUGAUAUAAUUUUAUCAAUUUUAUUCUUUACAAUAUUUAGUUCUCCGUAAUUUAUAUAAUAAGGUUUUAUCAUGAAUCACGUUUCUGGAGGUCGCAGACCACAUCCUGACCAUGUGAAAUUUCUUGCUUCUUGAAACCUCCAUGUCAUGGUCAAUGUUUCAAGUUUCAUGUUUCCAUAAAAAUAUUGUAUAGUGAUUCAUGAAAAGCUUUUUUCACAGGUUUAACAAGAUAAUCAUUAUGUUUGCUGAAGAAAAGUUUAGCAGAAAUGGUAUUGAGUUAAACUUGGCUCCAUGGUGACCAAAGUGAAUGAGAAAGAUAUAUCUGCUAAAACCAAAGGAGGAGAGGUUUCCUCAAUCCCUUAUGGAAUGAUUGUCUGGUCAACUAGUAUUGGAACUCGUCCUGUCAUAAAAGAUUUUAUGAAACAUAUUAAUCAGGUAAACUCUCACACUACAGCAUCCUAGCAAACACAUUUCAUUAUCUUAUCUUGCUCUAAGAAACUGUCUUUGCAAAUUGCAGGGUAAUAGAUGCGCUCUGGCAACUGAUGAAUGGCUUCAGGUAGAAGGAUGUGAUAAUAUAUAUAUGCUCUAGGAGGAUCUUCUAAAAGAAGCUGAAAGUGAUGAUGGAUCAAAGAAGAAUCCAGAAGGUCCCUUUAGGAUGAGAGGAGAAGGUCGUAUCCGUAUCUAAGAUUUUUGGUUGUGCUGUUUUCCGUCCCCGCUCCAGUCCCUGUUUCCAGCCCCGUACCCAUGCCAGGGCUGCUUAGGAGGAGAACAAACGCGGCUGAGCUUCAAGAAAUUGGGUUUCCAUUGGACACGGCAGCCAGAGGCUUGAACAGUUUCACAAAUUAUAUUUUUUAGACAGUUUCAUUACAAAAAAAAUUACUACUAUCUAUUUUACGCAUCUCUCUCUUUUAUGUGCCCACCAAGAACUAAACAAACUUCCUCAUGAGAAAAAAGUUUUGAUCUUUUUCCCAAAAAAACAAAGUUUUGAUCUUUGUUGUCGUUUACCUAUUCGUUUUAUUUGUUUGUAAUAAAAUAAUGGCCAAAAAAGACGACACGGACAUUGCUUCGUUUAUUUGGGCAGUCAUAUUUGAAUUUAACGGUGAUAUGACUCCAGUUUUUGUCUUAACUCUUACGAUAGUUACGGCAUACCUUACGAGCACAGCCGGGCUUGACCCAACACAAUUGAAACAUUUUAUUGGAGCCCCCAUUAUGUGGUGCCCG